GUGCCAGCCGCCGCGGUAAUACCGGCAGCCCAAGUGAUGGCCGAUCUUAUUGGGCCUAAAGCGUCCGUAGCUGGCCGACCAAGUCUCCCGGGAAAUCCACCCGCCCAACGGGUGGGCGUCCGGUAGAAACUGGCCGGCUUGGAACCGGAAGGCUCAGAGAGUACGUCCGGGGUAGGAGUGAAAUCCCGUAAUCCCGGACGGACUACCGAUGGCGAAAGCACUCUGAGAAAACGGAUCCGACAGUGAGGGACGAAAGCCAGGGUCUCCAACCGGAUUAGAAACCCCAGUAGUCC
rnacentral:rRNA from 1 species